CAUGACCGGGACUUCAUUCGGGGUGAAAUGUUCAGGCAAAUAAAGGUUGUCCAGGCACGCAAUGGACUUCCUGACAUCAACUAACCAGGCGACAUCCUGGAUAGGCCUCUUCAAAGAUGGCCAAGGAAGUGCCCACAGGUGGAUGGAUGGCUCAGCCCCCACCUACAUAAACUGGGACUCCAGGAAAUUGGAUGAUAAUGGAACCACCCCAGCCUGUGUGAUGAUGCUCUACCAGGGACACUGGAGCAACUCCUCUUGCAAAUCAGAGUCUCCUGUUUACAUCUGUGAGAAGAGGCAGAGCUGCUGACCUAGGCCCCUACCCCAUAAGAUUGGUGUAAACCUCUUGUUGUGCAUCCUCAACCUCCAUCCCUGCCC
rnacentral:lncRNA from 1 species